UCAUGCCCCAUUAAGGUGAAUAUGGUAUCUUCUGCAGAAAGAAUUGAAGACUACCUAUUGCGCAUUAUGUAUAACUUCAGCAAAGAUCCUGUUAGUCUGCCUUUGAUCGUCGUCUUUUGUGUAUUACUAGACUUUGUCCUAAGAUCAGAUAUUUGAAAAUCAUUCACACGGGUCAAUGUUUGAGGUAUGCAUUAAAGCAGAAACAGUUUUUUAUUAAUGUGUGACAUGUGUUCAGGAUUUAAGUGCCAGGUACUUUGCUAAGUUUAGUAGAUUGCGACAUUCAUUCUCUACCCUAUAAAGUCUACAUGCCUAUUAGUAUCUCCAACUUACAGAUGAGAAAACUGAGGCAGAGGAAGUUUACAUAAAUUGCAUGAAACUGACAAAGUCAGGAAGGGGCAGCACUAGAUUCCUGCCCAGCUGCCCAAAUCCAGGAGCUAUGUUCUAAACUGCUUUUCUCAUGGAUAUC
rnacentral:lncRNA from 1 species